AUUGAACGCUGGCGGCAUGCCUUACACAUGCAAGUCGAACGGUAACGCGGGGCAACCUGGCGACGAGUGGCGAACGGGUGAGUAAUGCAUCGGAACGUGCCCAGUAGUGGGGGAUAGCCCGGCGAAAGCCGGAUUAAUACCGCAUACGACCUACGGGUGAAAGGGGGGGAUCGCAAGACCUCUCGCUAUUGGAGCGGCCGAUGUCAGAUUAGCUAGUUGGUGGGGUAAAAGCCUACCAAGGCGACGAUCUGUAGCUGGUCUGAGAGGACGGACGGCCACACGGGGACUGAGACACGGACCAGACGCCUACGGGAGGCAGCAGUGGGGAAUUUUGGACAAUGGGCGAAAGCCUGAUCCAGCCAUGCCACGUGCGUGAAGAAGGCCUUCGGGUUGUAAACCGCUUUUGUCAGUGAAGAAAUCUUCUGAGUUAAUACCUCGGGAGGAUGACGGUACCUGAAGAAUAAGCACCGGCUAACUACGUGCCAGCCGCCGCGGUAA
rnacentral:rRNA from 1 species